rnacentral:rRNA from 1 species
AGCCAUGCCGCGUGUAUGAAGAAGGCCUUCGGGUUGUAAAGUACUUUCAGCGGGGAGGAAGGCGAUGCGGUUAAUAACCGCGUCGAUUGACGUUACCCGCAGAAGAAGCACCGGCUAACUCCGUGCCAGCAGCCGCGGUAAUACGGAGGGUGCAAGCGUUAAUCGGAAUUACUGGGCGUAAAGCGCACGCAGGCGGUCUGUCAAGUCGGAUGUGAAAUCCCCGGGCUCAACCUGGGAACUGCAUCCGAAACUGGCAGGCUUGAGUCUCGUAGAGGGGGGUAGAAUUCCAGGUGUAGCGGUGAAAUGCGUAGAGAUCUGGAGGAAUACCGGUGGCGAAGGCGGCCCCCUGGACGAAGACUGACGCUCAGGUGCGAAAGCGUGGGGAGCAAACAGGAU